GUGGUGUUUGGAUCGUCCCUGCCGGCUGGCUCCGUGCCCGUCCACCGAACGGUCGGCAGGCGAUCCGCGUCGGUCUCGCCGGGUGGUAUGGUUCCCCAGAGGCCGGUUCUUGUGCUGCCUACCCCUUCAGGGGAAGCGGGCCGCUCGAUGUAAGCCUCCAUCCGGCGCCCUCCAACGGGCGCAGGAGGACAACGUAGCACCCCCCGCGCUCCACCGAGCCCAUAUCGGUCGCGUGGCGCGCGGGGACGUGCGAUGCUCUCGGACCCAGCGAACGCCGUGGGCGAGGACUCACGUCCCAGUCCCGAUAGAAGCUCCCAAAUAAUGCAUGACGGCCGCUCCCGUCCCACGACCGCCCCGGCGGCGCGGGGGCGAGGCGCGGCGUCGCGGAGGAAUGCUACCUGGUUGAUCCUGCCAGUAGUCAUAUGCUUGUCUCAAAGAUUAAGCAAUUUUAUAAAAAUU
rnacentral:misc_RNA from 1 species